UACAAUGUCUUUUAUAAGAAUAGACACCCAGAGUCACGAUUCGUUUUUCGGAUGAAAUAUGCCAGUGAACGUAUAUAUUCCAUUCGUGGAAUCAUACGGUAGGAUACUCGAUAUUCUACUGUCGUGCUCGCGGUUGAUCUUAGAUUAAUCCUUGUAAAAGGAAUUUGGAAUGUAUCUACCCUGGAAGUAUGAAUUAAUAUACUUAUAAUUAGAUCCAUCUUCACUACAAAC
rnacentral:snoRNA from 24 species